rnacentral:rRNA from 1 species
CGGUGUAAAAUGAGCUUGCGUCCUAUUAGCUAGUUGGCGGGGUAAAAGCCCACCAAGGCAAUGAUGGGUAGGGGUUCUUAGUGGAAGAUCCCCCACACUGGCACUGAGAUACGGGCCAGACUCCUACGGGAGGCAGCAGUAGGGAAUAUUGGUCAAUGGGCGCAAGCCUGAACCAGCCAUUCCGCGUGCAGGAUGAAGGCUCUACGAGUUGUAAACUGCUUUUGUACAGGAACAAAAAAGCCCCUGCGGGGGUUCUUGAGUGUACUGUAAGAAUAAGCACCGGCUAAUUCCGUGCCAGCAGCCGCGGUAAUACGGAAGGUGCAAGCGUUAUCCGGUUUUAUUGGGUUUAAAGGGUGCGUAGGCGGCUUAUUAAGUCAGUUGUGAAAUCCUAGCGCUCAACGUUAGAACUGCGAUUGAUACUGAUAGGCUUGAGUUAAA